rnacentral:rRNA from 1 species
UACGUAGGGUGCAAGCGUUAAUCGGAAUUACUGGGCGUAAAGCGAGCGCAGGCGGUUGUGUAAGACAGGUGUGAAAUCCCCGGGCUCAACCUGGGAACUGCACUUGUGACUGCACGGCUAGAGUGCGUCAGAGGGGGGUGGAACUCCACGUGUAGCAGUGAAAUGCGUAGAGAUGUGGAAGAACACCGAUGGCGAAGGCAGCCCCCUGGGAUGACACUGACGAUCAUGCUCGAAAGAGUGGGGAGCAAACAGG